rnacentral:rRNA from 1 species
GAUGAACGCUGGCGGCGUGCCUAAUACAUGCAAGUCGAGCGAACGGACGAGAAGCUUUCUUCUCUGAUGUUGGCGGCGGACGGGUGAGUAAGACGUGGAUAACCUACCUAUAAGACUUGGGUAACUUCGGGAAACCGUAGCUGAUACCGGAUAAUAUGUUGUACCGCAUGGUUCAAGAGUGAAAGACGGUCUUGCUGUCACUUAUAGAUGGAGCCGCGUUGCAUUAGCUAGUUGGUAAGGUAACGGCUUACCAAGGCAACGAUGCAUAGCCGACCUGAGAGGGUGAUCGGCCACACUGGAACUGAGACACGGUCCAGACUCCUACGGGAGGCAGCAGUAGGGAAUAUUGCGCAAUGGGCGCAGGCCUGACCGAGCAACACCGCGUGAGUGAAGAAGGUCUUCGGGUCGUAAAACUCUGUUAUUAGGGAAGAAAAUAAGCGUAAGAAACUGCGCACAUCUUGACGGUACCUAAACAGAAAGCAACGGCUAACUACGUG